rnacentral:rRNA from 1 species
UACGGAGGGUGCAAGCGUUAAUCGGAAUUACUGGGCGUAAAGCGUGCGUAGGCGGAUGCUUAAGUCUGAUGUGAAAUCCCCGGGCUUAACCUGGGAACUGCAUUGGAUACUGGGCGUCUAGAGUAUGGUAGAGGGUGGCGGAAUUUCUGGUGUAGCGGUGAAAUGCGUAGAUAUCAGAAAGAACACCAAUGGCGAAGGCAGCCACCUGGGCCAAUACUGACGCUGAGGUACGAAAGCGUGGGGAGCAAAC